rnacentral:pre_miRNA from 1 species
CAAGUACUCCCUCCGUCCGUAAUUACUUGUCAUCAAAAUGGAUGUGUCUAGAACUAAAAUACAUCUAGAUACAUACAUUUCAAUGACAAAUAUUUUCGGACGGAGGGAGUACAAG